rnacentral:misc_RNA from 1 species
UUGAAAAGAAUUUUCAAGUCUUUACUGAUCGUAAACUCUCCCUCUUCUCAUCGAAGUUCAGGUAACGCCUGACAACCUCUUUGUUACGAAACUGUUUUCUUUCUUACUCUUGAUUCUGCUUUUCUUAAAUCCUGUAUCCAUUCAGGUUAUCUUUGUGGUGUAUUGAAGAACCACUAUUGAAGUGUAGGAUAGCGCCUACCAUUUGAAUGUCAGGACAGCGCCUGAUUUUAUUUUGACAUGUCUGUUACUCUUUCCCCUUCAGGGGAUUGUUUUACUUUUAAUCAUGUUAAAUAUAAUAAUAGUCUAAAUAAGUAUUUAUUUUAUAAUAAUAAUUUAGAUAUCGUCCUUGACGAUUUUGAUUUUUAUUUCCACUUUUAUGUGGCGAUAAUCAAGGUUUGUCCUUUUCCUUGGUUUGCUAUGUUGGACACAAAAAGAUUUUCUCUUUCUUUUGUAUAUGAUAAAAUAUUUUCUGCAAAAAGC